rnacentral:rRNA from 1 species
CAGGCCUAACACAUGCAAGUCGAACGAUAAAGCGACUUCGGUCGUGAUUAAAGUGGCAAACGGGUGAGUAUCACGUGAGCAACCUGCCCUCAAGUUGGGGAUACCCNCUGGGAAGCCAGGGUUAAUACCGAAUGUGGUCAAUUUUCCACCUGGAAAAUUGUGUAAAGGCGGCUUCGGCUGUCGCUUGAGGAUGGGCUCGCGUCCCAUUAGCUUGUUGGUAGGGUAACGGCCUACCAAGGCUACGAUGGGUAGCCGGCCUGAGAGGGUGAUCGGCCACACUGGAACUGAGAUACAGUCCAGACUCCUACGGGAGGCAGCAGUGGGGAAUAUUCCGCAAUGGGCGCAAGCCUGACGGAGCAACGCCGCGUGUGUGAUGAAGGUUCUUGGAUUGUAAAGCACUGUUGUCAGGGAAGAACGACCUAAGCUCUAACAUAGCUUAGGAGUGACGGUACCUGACCAGAAAGUCCCGGCUAACUCCGUGCCAGCAGCCGCGGUAA